AACAGUUUGUGCAUUCUUGCUCACGGAAGCCAGUCCUAAGUAUUUGCGGUCAUUGAUUGAUAGGUGGAGUGCUUAAGGUUGCAGUUGCAAAGGAAAACCCACAGGAUACUUCCCCUUGGAAACCAGUCAUUAGGCAAGAAAAACCAGGCCACAUAGAGAGGCUCCUAGCCAUUGGGCCCUGCUAAGCUUCCUGCCAACAUGGCACACCAACUUACCAUCUGUGUGGGUGAGUCAUCCAGAAGUGGAUCCUCCAGCCCUUAGCUGAGCUUCCCCAGGUAAUGCCACAUGAAGCCUGCCCAAACUGCAAAUCUGUGAACAAAAUACAUGAUUAUUGUUGUGUUAAGUUACUAAGUUUUGGUGUAGUUUUCUUUAUGCAGCAAUAGAGAACCAAAACAGAAAGGGCCAGUGGGAGAAGAUCCAGUGGUGCAGCAACCAACACGCAUAAAAAUAAAUCCUGGCUAAAUGGUAAUAAAAGUUCAUUUUAUUUGC